rnacentral:rRNA from 1 species
UACGAAGGGGGCUAGCGUUGUUCGGAUUUACUGGGCGUAAAGCGCACGUAGGCGGAUCGUUAAGUCGGGGGUGAAAUCCUGGAGCUCAACUCCAGAACUGCCUUCGAUACUGGCGAUCUUGAGUCCGGAAGAGGUGAGUGGAACUCCUAGUGUAGAGGUGGAAUUCGUAGAUAUUAGGAAGAACACCAGUGGCGAAGGCGGCUCACUGGUCCGGUACUGACGCUGAGGUGACGAAAGGCGUGGGGAGCAAACAGG